rnacentral:lncRNA from 1 species
CCUCAAUAACUUCAAGCAAAGACUGGGGGUCAGCCUGAUGAACCAAACUACUCAGUAAUCUCCUCCAUGAAGACUGGAGGUCAGCCUGAUGAACUAAACUACUCAGUAAUCUCCUCCAUGAAGACUGGGGGUCAGCCUGAUGAACCAAACUACUCAGUAAUCUCCUCCAUGAAGACUGGGGGUCAGCCUGAUGAACCAAACUACUCAGUAAUCUCCUCCAUGAAGACUGGGGGUCAGCCUGAUGAACCAAACUACUCAGUAAUCUCCUCCAUGAAGACUGGGGGUCAGCCUGAACCAAACUACUCAGUAAUCUCCUCCAUGAAGACUGGGGGGUCAGCCUGAUGAACCAAACUACUCAGUAAUCUCCUCCAUGAAGACUGGGGGUCAGCCUGAACCAAACUACUCAGUAAUCUCCUCCAUGAAGACUGGGGGGUCAGCCG